AGUGAACGCUGGCGGUAGGCCUAACACAUGCCAGUCGAACGGCAGCACAGUAAGAGCUUGCUCUUACGGGUGGCGAGUGGCGGACGGGUGAGGAAUACAUCGGAAUCUACUUUUUCGUGGGGGAUAACGUAGGGAAACUUACGCUAAUACCGCAUACGACCUACGGGUGAAAGCAGGGGAUCUUCGGACCUUGCGCGAUUGAAUGAGCCGAUGUCGGAUUAGCAGUUGGCGGGGUAAAGGCCCACCAAGGCGACGAUCCGUAGCUGGUCUGAGAGGAUGAUCAGCCACACUGGAACUGAGACACGGUCCAGACUCCUACGGGAGGCAGCAGUGGGGAAUAUUGGACAAUGGGCGCAAGCCUGAUCCAGCCAUACCGCGUGGGUGAAGAAGGCCUUCGGGUUGUAAAGCCCUUUUGUUGGGAAAGAAAAGCAGCAGGUUAAUACCCCGCUGUUCUGACGGUACCCAAAGAAUAAGCACCGGCUAACUUCGUG
rnacentral:rRNA from 1 species